rnacentral:misc_RNA from 1 species
UUAUGCAAAAAAAGAAUAGAACAAGAACGGAACAUGCUGCUUGCAUAUGAGAAAAAGGAAAUGUUGUUUACAUAAGUAAAUAUUUCAAUAAUACAAAUAAACUAUGAUAAAUCCUCUGGUUUAAGUUACCUGGUCAUACAGUUAUUGCUUCUAUGGGUAACUAAUAAGAUUUCAAAUUAAUUUCCAGGAAGCUCAAUCAAGGGUGUAACCUGAACUUAAAAGCAACUAAAUAAAAUAAAGACCCAACCAAA